ensembl:snRNA U6 U6 spliceosomal RNA
GUGCUUGCUUCGGCAGCUCAUAUACUAAAAUUGGAACAAUGAAGAGAUUAGCAUGGCCCCUGCACAAGGAUGACACACGAAUUAGUGAAGUGUUCCAUAUUUAA